rnacentral:rRNA from 1 species
CCUGGCUCAGGACGAACGCUGGCGGCGCGCCUAACACAUGCAAGUCGAACGAGAGAUGAGGAGCUUGCUCUUCAAAUCGAGUGGCGAACGGGUGAGUAACGCGUGAGGAACCUGCCUCAAAGAGGGGGACAACAGUUGGAAACGACUGCUAAUACCGCAUAAGCCCACGGCUCGGCAUCGAGCAGAGGGAAAAGGAGCAAUCCGCUUUGAGAUGGCCUCGCGUCCGAUUAGCUAGUUGGUGAGGUAAUGGCCCACCAAGGCGACGAUCGGUAGCCGGACUGAGAGGUUGAACGGCCACAUUGGGACUGAGACACGGCCCAGACUCCUACGGGAGGCAGCAGUGGGGAAUAUUGCACAAUGGGGGAAACCCUGAUGCAGCGACGCCGCGUGGAGGAAGAAGGUCUUCGGAUUGUAAACUCCUGUUGUUGAGGAAGAUAAUGACGGUACUCAACAAGGAAGUGACGGCUAACUACGUGCCAGCAGCCGCGGUAAAACGUAGGUCACAAGCGUUGUCCGGAAUUACUGGGUGUAAAGGGAGCGCAGGCGGGAGAACAAGUUGGAAGUGAAAUCCAUGGGCUCAACCCAUGAACUGCUUUCAAAACUGUUUUUCUUGAGUAGUGCAGAGGUAGGCGGAAUUCCCGGUGUAGCGGUGGAAUGCGUAGAUAUCGGGAGGAACACCAGUGGCGAAGGCGGCCUACUGGGCACCAACUGACGCUGAGGCUCGAAAGUGUGGGUAGCAAACAGGAUUAGAUACCCUGGUAGUCCACACCGUAAACGAUGAUUACUAGGUGUUGGGGGAUUGACCCCUUCAGUGCCGCAGUUAACACAAUAAGUAAUCCACCUGGGGAGUACGACCGCAAGGUUGAAACUCAAAGGAAUUGACGGGGGCCCGCACAAGCAGUGGAGUAUGUGGUUUAAUUCGACGCAACGCGAAGAACCUUACCAAGUCUUGACAUCCCUUGACGAUGCUGGAAACAGUAUUUCUCUUCGGAGCAAGGAGACAGGUGGUGCAUGGUUGUCGUCAGCUCGUGUCGUGAGAUGUUGGGUUAAGUCCCGCAACGAGCGCAACCCUUAUGGUCAGUUACUACGCAAGAGGACUCUGGCCAGACUGCCGUUGACAAAACGGAGGAAGGUGGGGAUGACGUCAAAUCAUCAUGCCCUUUAUGACUUGGGCUACACACGUACUACAAUGGCGUUAAACAAAGAGAAGCAAGACCGCGAGGUGGAGCAAAACUCAGAAACAACGUCCCAGUUCGGACUGCAGGCUGCAACUCGCCUGCACGAAGUCGGAAUUGCUAGUAAUCGUGGAUCAGCAUGCCACGGUGAAUACGUUCCCGGGCCUUGUACACACCGCC